AACCUUCGGGGAACGAUAACGGCGUCGAGCGGCGGACGGGUGAGUAAUGCCUAGGAAAUUGCCCUGAUGUGGGGGAUAACCAUUGGAAACGAUGGCUAAUACCGCAUAACGCCUACGGGCCAAAGAGGGGGACCUUCGGGCCUCUCGCGUCAGGAUAUGCCUAGGUGGGAUUAGCUAGUUGGUGAGGUAAAGGCUCACCAAGGCGACGAUCCCUAGCUGGUCUGAGAGGAUGAUCAGCCACACUGGAACUGAGACACGGUCCAGACUCCUACGGGAGGCAGCAGUGGGGAAUAUUGCACAAUGGGCGCAAGCCUGAUGCAGCCAUGCCGCGUGUGUGAAGAAGGCCUUCGGGUUGUAAAGCACUUUCAGUCGUGAGGAAGGUGGUGUAGUUAAUAGCUGCAUUAUUUGACGUUAGCGACAGAAGAAGCACCGGCUAACUCCGUGCCAGCAGCCGCGGUAAUACGGAGGGUGCGAGCGUUAAUCGGAAUUACUGGGCGUAAAGCGCAUGCAGGUGGUUUGUUAAGUCAGAUGUGAAAGCCCGGGGCUCAACCUCGGAAUUGCAUUUGAAACUGGCAGACUAGAGUACUGUAGAGGGGGGUAG
rnacentral:rRNA from 1 species